AGGAUGUAAGGUAGACAGGGACAAGUGAAAGAGGAAAGGAAAGAAUUCACAGAUAGAUAUAAAGGAUAGAUUUACCAAACAGGUGAGAAAGGGGAAACAGAAUAAUACUGUGCACAAGGUAUAGAUAGUAUAGAUAAUAUAGAGAGAUCCACACUGAGCAGGGGGAUCAGUAUCCUGGGGAAAGGGGCAAAUAAAUACCCUAAGAAAAGGGGGUAAUUUGACACCCUGAGCAGAGGAAGUAAAUAGAUACUGGAGAAGAGGGGCAGAUCAAUUAAUAUAAGGUAGAGUUACAAACAGAGGAACACAGGUGGAAGAUAACAGGUAGAUAUCUUAACAUUGAAGGUAGGUAGUCAGCGAGGGCAGCAGGGCAACAAAAAGGGGUGAGCUGGUCAGAGAGUUCCAGGGAAUACGGUAAAUAGGGCAGGUGGGGUAAUAAGGCUGAUACAGGGCAGUAUAUAGACAUUAACAGGGCAGGUGGGGUAAUAAGGCUGAUACAGGGCAGUAUAUAGACAGUAACAGGGCAGGUGGGGUAAUAAGGCUGAUACAGGGCAGUAUAUAGAUAGUAACAGGGCAGGUGGGGUAAUAAGGCUGAUACAGGGCAGUAUAUAGACAGUAACAGGGCAGGUGGGGUAAUAAGGCUGACACAGGGCAGUAUAUAGAUAGUACCAGGGCAGGUGGGGUAAUAAGGCUGAUAAGGGGCAGUAUAUAGAUAGUACCCCGGCAGGUGGGGUAAUAAGGCUGAUACAGGGCAGUAUAUAGACAGUACCAGGGCAGGUGGGGUAAUAAGGCUGACACAGGGCAGUAUAUAGAUAGUACCAGGGCAGGUGGGGUAAUAAGGCUGACACAGGGCAGUAUAUAGAUAGUACCAGGGCAGGUGGGGUAAUAAGGCUGACACAGGGCAGUAUAUAGAUAGUACCAGGGCAGGUGGGGUAAUAAGGCUGGACACAGGGCAGUAUAUAGAUAGUACCAGGGCAGGUGGGGUAAUAAGCUCGAUUAACAGGCAGUAUAUAGAUAGUACCAGGGCAGGUGGGGUAAUAAGGCUGGACACAGGGCAGUAUAUAGGAUAGUACCAGGGCAGGUGGGGUAAUAAGGCUGGAUAAGGGCAGUAUAUAGAUAGUACCCCGGCAGGUGGGGUAAUAAGGCUGAUACAGGGCAGUAUAUAGACAGUACCAGGGCAGGUGGGGUAAUAAGGCUGACACAGGGCAGUAUAUAGAUAGUACCAGGGCAGGUGGGGUAAUAAGGCUGACACAGGGCAGUAUAUAGAUAGUACCAGGGCAGGUGGGGUAAUAAGGCUGACACAGGGCAGUAUAUAGAUAGUACCAGGGCAGGUGGGGUAAUAAGGCUGAUAAGGGGCAGUAUAUAGAUAGUACCCCGGCAGGUGGGGUAAUAAGGCUGAUACAGGGCAGUAUAUAGACAGUACCAGGGCAGGUGGGGUAAUAAGGCUGACACAGGGCAGUAUAUAGAUAGUACCAGGGCAGGUGGGGUAAUAAGGCUGACACAGGGCAGUAUAUAGAUAGUACCAGGGCAGGUGGGAGUAAUAAGGCUGACACAGGGUAGUAUAUAGAUAGUAUCAGGGCAGGUGGGGUAUUAAGGCUAGUUCAGGUGAUUAUAGCCCCAGAAGAAGGAUUACCGGUCUCUCUGCCCGCCCUAAGAUGAGCCUCCCUGGGUUCCUGCUGUUGCUGGCGGCCGCCCUGGUCUCCUCGGCCGAGGUUCUGUUCCGCUGCCCCCCUUGCACUCCAGAGCGUGUGGCUGCCUGUCCUGCCCUGCCCCCGCGGAGCCCCUGCGCGGAGCUGGUACGGGCCCCCGGCUGCGGCUGCUGUCCUGUGUGCGCCCGGGUGGAGGGAGAGUCCUGCGGGGUGUACACCGCCCGCUGUGCCACCGGGCUCCGCUGCUACCCCAACCCCGGCUCCGAUCUCCCCCUACAGGCUCUGGUGAAUGGCCAGGGGGGGUGCGGCAAAAGGAGGGACGCUGAGUAUGGGAGCAGCCAGGAACGGGGCACAG
rnacentral:lncRNA from 1 species